rnacentral:tRNA from 1 species
GGAAGGGUGCUGGAGCGGCCGAACAGGCACGACUGGAAAUCGUGUGCGCCUUCACGGGCGCCGAGGGUUCAAAUCCCUCCCCUUCCGCCA